rnacentral:rRNA from 1 species
AUUGAACGCUGGCGGCAGGCUUAACACAUGCAAGUCGAGCGGAGAUGAGGUGCUUGCACCUUAUCUUAGCGGCGGACGGGUGAGUAAUGCUUAGGAAUCUGCCUAUUAGUGGGGGACAACAUUCCGAAAGGAAUGCUAAUACCGCAUACGCCCUACGGGGGAAAGCAGGGGAUCUUCGGACCUUGCGCUAAUAGAUGAGCCUAAGUCGGAUUAGCUAGUUGGUGAGGUAAUGGCUCACCAAGGCGACGAUCCCUAGCUGGUUUGAGAGGAUGAUCAGCCACACUGGAACUGAGACACGGUCCAGACUCCUACGGGAGGCAGCAGUGGGGAAUAUUGGACAAUGGGCGAAAGCCUGAUCCAGCCAUGCCGCGUGUGUGAAGAAGGCCUUCGGGUUGUAAAGCACUUUCAGCGAGGAGGAAGGAGUUGUAGUUAAUAGCUGCAACUUUUGACGUUACUCGCAGAAGAAGCACCGGCUAACUCUGUGCCAGCCGCCGCGGUAACAC